AUUGAACGCUGGCGGCAGGCCUAACACAUGCAAGUCGAGCGGAAGAAGGGAGCUUGCGCCUGGAUUCAGCGGCGGACGGGUGAGUAAUGCCUAGGAAUCUGCCUGGUAGUGGGGGAUAACGUCUGGAAACGGGCGCUAAUACCGCAUACGUCCUGAGGGAGAAAGUGGGGGAUCUUCGGACCUCACGCUAUCAGAUGAGCCUAGGUCGGAUUAGCUAGCUGGUGGGGUAAAGGCCUACCAAGGCGACGAUCCGUAACUGGUCUGAGAGGAUGAUCAGUCACAUUGGAGCUGAAACACGGACCAUGCUACUACGGGAGGCAGCAGAGGGGAAUAUUAGACAAUGGGGGGAAGCAUGAUCCAGUCAUGGCGCGUGUGUGAAGAAGGUCUUGGGAUUGUAAAGCCCUUUAAGUUGGUAGGAAGGGCAGUAAGUUAAGACGUUGCUGUUUUGACGUUACCAACAAAAUAAGCACCGGCUAACUACGUG
rnacentral:rRNA from 1 species